UUUUUUUUUUUUUCCUUGAGAAGGAGUCUCUCUCUGUCGCCUAGGCUGGAGUGCAGUGGCGGGAUCUCGGCUCACUGCAAGCUCCGCCUCCUGGGUUCAUGCCAUUCUAUUGGAGAGUUUCUAUAACCAAAGAAGAUAACUUGGAAAAUGCAUUAGUCUCUGCCAUUUGGGAGUCCAGAAGCAUGUGUUUGCUGGAAAAUUUAGGAGUGGAGCGUGAGAGGGAAGUGAAGUGAUCCCAUAGACCAUGAGGCCAUAGACCAUGAGGUCCUCCAGGCCAGCAGCUAUAGUUCCUCAUCCUCCAAUGCCCAACCAGCAACUGGCAUUUAAAGUCUAUGUGAAGAAGGAGAGAGAGGUAGAGCAAAAGAAGAGAGACACGGGAGCUAGGAAAGUAGCUGGAAAGUCCUGUGGUAGUUAUUUUAUUUUGAUUUCCCCAAUCCCCUCAACUUAGAUAGCAAUGAGGAUGCUUCUAAACAUGUACAAACGAACCUGAAAAUAUAGACAGAGGAAGAAUCUGCCAGAAAGGUAAGAAGAAAAGCAAGAGAAACCUACAUCUCAGAACCCAUUCUAGGUUAUGGAAGAGUGGUCGCUAGUGUCACAUACUGCCAAGAAGUCAAGUAGAAAAGGAUGGAAGAGAUCCGAGUAGAAUUGGCAGCCUAGAGGUGAUUGGCAACUUCCUUUGGCAAGAAGAGUUCUUGAUUCCGUGAACUUGCAUUCAUUUCCAUGGCUGCGUUCUCCCAUGGGAGGGCUGGCAGAGGCUGAAGGAUGGAGGGAGGUGAUGGGGAAGAGAAGAGAUCCAGGCUCCUUCACGCAUCCCCACGCGGAUAAUAGAAUGCUGCUUAAACUGCCCUGCUCACACCCCCUUUCAAGUCAAGAAUUGGAGCUAAUGGUAAAAACAUUCCAUAUGUUCUGAGUGGCUACAAACUCAUUAUUGUGCCUUGGCUGGCAAUGUAGCCCUUCAGUUAAUGAAAUCCGGUGCUGGAGCAAAUGAAUCCAUGCAGGAGAGGGGUGUCUGAUGGUGGCAGCUGAGCUUCAAUUUUUUUCACUUUUUAUUUCUUCUCCCGCAGCCCCAUCCCAGAAAGAGAAAGACCUCUGUGAUCCUUAAUCAGCAAUGAUGAGAGAAUGGAGCCAGUAGGGGACAGUGCAGCGCAGUUCAAGAAGCUCUGGCUUCUUCUGGCUUCUUCCAGCUGAUGCCAGCUGGAGAGGGUUUGAAUCCCAACUCAAGCACCUGUUAGUGGGGCUGCCUCAGGGAUAUCACUUAAAAAUCCUGAGCCUCAUUGAUAUGGUUAGGUUUUGCGUCCCCACCCAAAUCUCAUCUUGAAUUGUAAUCCCCAAGUGUUGAGGAACCUGGUGGUAGGUGAUUAGAUCCUAGGGGCAGUUUCACCCAUGCUGUUCUCUGGAUAGUGAGUGAGUUCUCAUGAGAUCUGAUAGUUUUAUAAGUGUUUGACAAGUUCUUCCUUUGCUCACUCUUCUCCCUCUUGCCACCAUGUGAAGAAGUCCUUGCUUCCC
rnacentral:lncRNA from 10 species